AGUGAACGCUGGCGGUAGGCCUAACACAUGCAAGUCGAACGGCAGCACAGAGGAGCUUGCUCCUUGGGUGGCGAGUGGCGGACGGGUGAGGAAUACAUCGGAAUCUACUCUGUCGUGGGGGAUAACGUAGGGAAACUUACGCUAAUACCGCAUACGACCUACGGGUGAAAGCAGGGGACCUUCGGGCCUUGCGCGAUUGAAUGAGCCGAUGUCGGAUUAGCUAGUUGGCGGGGUAAAGGCCCACCAAGGCGACGAUCCGUAGCUGGUCUGAGAGGAUGAUCAGCCACACUGGAACUGAGACACGGUCCAGACUCCUACGGGAGGCAGCAGUGGGGAAUAUUGGACAAUGGGCGCAAGCCUGAUCCAGCCAUACCGCGUGGGUGAAGAAGGCCUUCGGGUUGUAAAGCCCUUUUGUUGGGAAAGAAAUCCGGCUGACUAAUACCCGGUUGGGAUGACGGUACCCAAAGGAUAAGCACCGGCUAACUUCGUGCCAGCAGCCGCCGUAA
rnacentral:rRNA from 1 species